rnacentral:rRNA from 1 species
UCCGGCGUCAGACGAACGACUGGCGGCGUAGCUUAACACAUGCAAGUCGAACGGAGUACCCGUCGAAGAAGAUUUACGGUUCAAAUGGAGAGGGACUAACGUUAGUGGGCGGACGGGGUGGAGUAACGCGUGAGGAACCUGCCGUUUCAGAGGGGGACAACAGUUGGAAACGACUGCUAUACCGCAUAACGUACGGGUAUCGCAUGGUACUGGUACCAAAGAUUUAUCGCUGAGAGAUGGCCUCGCGUCUGAUUAGCUAGUUGGUGGGUAACGGCCUACCAAGGCGACGAUCAGUAGCCGGACUGAGAGGUUGGCCGGCCACAUUGGGACUGAGAUACGGCCCAGACUCCUACGGGAAGCAGCAGUGGGGAAUAUUGGGCAAUGGGCGCAAGCCUGACCCAGCAACGCCGCGUGAAGGAAGAAGGCUUUCGGGUUGUAAACUUCUUUUGACAGGGAAGAGCAGAAGACGGUACCUGUCGAAUAAGCCACGGCUAACUACGUG